AUUAUGACUUACACAUUACAUUACUUAAGGAGUUACAAUACAAUGCAAUUACUUAAUAAUUUAUAGAAAAAAACAUCCAACAAACAAACAAAAAAAAAUCGCAACAAAUUACUAAGGGAAAUGCCUUAAAUGGUGAGAGGGAAUUUCCACUUCUGUUGAAGUUCCCAUUCACCAUUCAAGGUGGCAGCAAUGUAUUUUUCUAUCUCGAUUUUAUCCUGCACUAAUGAGAUAAAGUCGCUGAAAACAAACAUAGUAUUAUUUAGCGCAUUGAUAUAAAGAAAGUAUUUGCCUAGCAGUGUGAGGUGGUUGAGAGUCAAACGGUGAGUACAGGGACAAGUAAUUCCAAAUAAUACCUCUGGCUCGGAGAGGAGUAAACUCGCGUUACUUACGGUAGAAUACCAGCUUUGGAACUUAUACCAAAAGGAAGACACUUGCAGGCAGCUAAUAAACAAAUGACGUAUGUUUUGACUAUCAGAGGGGCAGAUAGGGCAGGAUGGGGAGGCAACCUUGUUCAUUUUGUAUAAUAUACUGUUUGUGGCUAAAAUGUUGUGUAUAAUUUUGUGCUGGAAUAUUGCCAAUUUAACUUAUUUUGUGGCUGUGAACGGCAGAAGAUAAAUUUUAUUUAGAUUCUCCUUUGCAAUACUUUAUGAUAAGAGUUUUUUCUGAAGUGGGAUGAGGAAGAUUUUCUAAGGUUAACAGUUUGUCGUAUAACAUCUUGCACACUAUAGUACAGAUUGGCGGCGGGGGUGUAGUAGAGUCGCCAGAAUUAACAUGAAGGAGCUUCUUCCAACUUUGAGGGAUCGUGGAUAUAAGACCAUGAUAUUGUAAAAAGUUGCAAUUUAGCGUGUAUUUAUUGUGCAAGGAAAGGAAAGGCAGGAAGCGAUUUUCAUGCUCGUCAAAAAGGUCUGAAAUUUGCUUUAUGUCUGCUCAGUGCCAAUGAUGGGAGAUAAUCCUGAUGAUAUCAUUAUUAAACUGAAUUGUCUCUUCGAAGAGAUCUGUAUUUGGUGCAGACUCAAUAAGCUGACUUUGCAUCCUGGAAAGUCUGAAGUAAUGAGUAUGCAAUGAGAUCAGUUUGUGGGCCCACUGUUGCUUGUGAAGUGUGGGGAUACACAAAUUGACUACACAACCAAAACAAAAUUAGUGGGUGCGGUCAUCGACAACAAACUGACAUGUAGAGAUCAGCUGGAGAAGACACAUAUGUCACUCAGCAGUCAGUAUCGUGUGCUGAAGAAAAUGCGAUACCUUCCACCCAAACUACUAGUCAGAAGCAUUUUACUUAAGACUGAUUCCACAAAUAACAUAUUGCAUAUCUGUCUGGGGCAACUGUUCUGUUGCUAGGCUAUAUGAAAUUAAGAACUUACAUAUUAAAAUAGGUAGUUUUAUUCACAGAGUUUCUCAGAAUGUUUUGGAAAGCAGAGUUUGCGUGUUAUGGGAAAGGCACAGUAAGCAAGAAUGUUGGAGUGGGAACUUUUAAUGGAUCGGAAAAUCUGCCCAGGAAAAAGAAAAUUGAUACUGGGCAGGACAGUGCUUCAGUAUCAUCAUCAUAAUGAUUUAGGGAAACAAUCAAUUCUAACAUUAAUAUUUCACAUUAAUAUAAUUAAUUCUAACAUUAUACUUUCUGUCAUUUGCCUGCACACAGCUAAACCUCCAGUUUUUGGACCAUGUAAAUUACUGGAUUUUGAGCUUGAAAUGGCAUUCUUUUGUGGACCAGGAAACAAUCUUGGUGAACCUAUUGCUAUAAAUAAGGCACAGGACCACAUUUUUGGAAUGGUUGUCAUGAAUGACUGGAGUGGUAGGUGUUGUUCUAGGUUUCUUUUUCCCGUAGUGACAGUUUUCAAAUGAGUAUUCUAUUCACAGGAAGAAUGUACCUGUUACAUGAGGUGAAAUUCAAACUUUGUGGGUGUUUUUUUGUAUACAUUAAUUUCACAUAGUAAAUUCAAGCUAUUACUGAAGAUAAUAUUAUUCGUUUUAAUUAAGUCAAUGCAUUACUGAUCCUAUGUAGGUGUUAACUGUGCGCUAUGAGCCUGUAUGGGGGGCAUCAUACCACGCUAUUGAAAUUCAGAUGAUAGUAAAAGAGAUUAAGUAUGUAUCGUUAAGGUGGCUCAAUAGGAUUUUCAAUAUCCAAUAGAAACUUGAACGUUACUGGUGUGCUAGAGAAAAGUGAAAGUUUCAAAUGACAUAUACAUUUUACCAAGAUCUGAGUUAUCAUGGCAGCAUUAUGAAGUCAUACCUUAUUUUACACGAGAGAGAAUAACUAGUCAUUAAGGGCUAGUUUGGGAUAUACGGCGCUGGGAUCAACAACCUGACAAUGAGAUCAAUCACUAUUCAAAAUUAUCCCCGAGUUUCAUAUUCAUUGAAACAUUUUAAGGUUACUGUA